AAGAUGUUAUAGCAUUCAGCUUUUUUUGUUUGCACUUUGUGUGUGAUUAAACGAGUGAGUCUGUGUUAUUUCUUAAAGCAACACGAGAUUAACGAAUGCGAUCCAUUAACUUUAGCUGGGUUUCUUAUCUCCAUUUCAAUAUUAACGAUCGGCAAGAGGACUAAAAGCUGAAAUAGCAAUAUUACAUAUUUGAAUUGGGACGUUACCUAUGGACAUUUAACGUAUAAACGUAUAAUACCCUCAACCGAGUUUGUAGUGUAUCGUGCGUUUAAUAUAUUCAUAAUGUUUUCCUACUCCAGCGCUUUAAUAAUGAUUGAAUGCACCUUUAAUGAGUGAGUACAUGACUCCGGGGGUUACUGGAAUUUCUCCCUGAUACUGGCGAUCUGUUGAAACGUUUUACAAACUGCUACUUUCACUGCAUACUAGUUGUUUCUUUCACCCUUAUAAGCUAGUGAUAGCUGUUCCUGCUGGGGCAGAUCUAUAUUUACUGCCUAAGUUAAACAUCUACGGUAGUUGUAUAAUCAUCAAACAUUUUAAGUAUUCCCAACCAGUAAUAAUGUUCUAUAAGUCAGCAUGCGUACUGAUUGAGCGGUUCAUUCUUAUAGCUUGUAUUGCUCUGCCGACUAUGUAACAACAAGUUUCUAAAAAUGACUGAUGCAAAACUGCAGGCAAUUUGCAGGUCGAAACUGCCGGGUAAUGCUGAUAUGCAGUUACUGAGAAGCUCGACACCGCCGCCCCCGGCCUUUCAGCUGAUGACUGGGAAACCCCAGCCUGCCCUCAGGUCACAUGGUUCUGCUCAUCAUGCUGCCCAGUUGUCUCAGAUAUCUGGGCCGAUUGGCUGAUUAAGGAACUGCAUACCACCAAACAGGUAAGACCAGCAGCGUAAAGACGAUAAGCAGCUUUAAUACCUCAGAGUGUGAUAGCAGAUACAAAUAAAGGUCAAUAAAAAUGGCUCAGAUAUUUGUGUGAUGUCAAUGGAAGGUAUACUGGAAAUUUUUGCCCCUUCCAUAUUUAACGCAUAUGUGGGUGAGCUCACAUUUCCAGUGAAAAACAGCAAGUACUUCAGACUGCCUUAUGUAAGCCAAACACCAAAAAAUAGUGUUAAGAAGCACAGCUGGAGAUAAAAAAAAGGCUAUCUUUGUCUUGCUAAUGAUGCACUGCAUCUGCGCUGGUUUUUAAGUCGGGGAUGGUUACUACCUGCACCCCAUUUGGCCAUUAAUCUGGGGAAGUUCUUCAGUGACCUUGGAGUUUUCUUCAUAUAAAUUUUACGUAGGCAGCAGGAGUGGCGCAAAUGCCCUUUUUAAUACUUAAUGCCAUGAAUCAGCCUGUGGAAACCUGAAGCCAGCUGAAAGGCGAUGGGGUUACCGUGGUAUCGCAGACCACACAGCAUGAGUGGGACCCAAUACGGAAGGAAAGGCGCAGUAACAUUUUACACGUACAGGACGCGAUUAAAAAGCACAGAUCAUUAAUACUUCACAGCACGUGGUGCUACUGUAUUAUGCCAAUGUGGCCUGUUUACUUUGAAAACCAAUGGCAGCUUAGCAUGUUCACAGUGUAUGCAAUAAUAUAGAACAUCCCAUAGCAAAUGAAAAUACCUUUGAAAUAUUCUGUCAAAGUGCAUUCUAUUUAUAGCCUUUAAAAGUAAUUCACUUAGUAGUAGCAGUUUUCUACCUGGGAGAUUUUUGAGUAAAAUUGAUUAUAGAAAACAGAUUAGAUUUUACAUGGUUUAGUGGAAUGGGACAAAGAGGGUGAUAUAUAAACAUACUGAUCUGAAUAAGCGCGACAACAUUAAGCCUAAAAAUGUAUUUUAGUGAGUACAUCUAUUUCAGUGUACACCAAAUGAGAAUGUCCUCAACUGAGGAUUAACUUCAGAAAAUUAUCCUACAGAUGGAACCAUAUCAGUGGGACAUGGAUUGAAUUGUUAGAAGUAGAUAUUCAAAAGUCAAUCCCUGUAUUUAUGUCAUUAGACGUUAAAUAGUAUUGUAGCACCGGCAGAGUGCAUGUCUCAGCAUGCCCCGUGUGCAACUGUAAAUAGCCCCUGUCUGUCAGGGUCAGCACCCGUCCGUCCGAGUCUUUCAUGUCUCCCCGUUUGACCAGCAGGUGGCACCAGCCAUCCUGUCCUCCCCGUUGUCAAAGUCCUUAGUGUGCUUCUCUUGCUCCCUAUACUGCUGCAUGGCUCAGUGAGCUGACUGUGUGGCGGCUAACUUCUCUGUUGGGUGUUCAAAUCCUGCCUUCUUUGUAUUUUGUAGAUUUUGUUUCCUAGUGUUUCAUAUGUAUCAUUUUUCCUAGUUCCUGUAUUUUGUAUUUGGUUUUGGUUUUUUGCUUUGUGCCCAUGGUUGUGUUUUACCUGUCUUUGUUCCCCUUGUGAGAGAAUCUGUUUCCUAGUUUCAGUUUCAUGGUGUAGUUUUAUCAGGUUCACCUGUUACCUGUUUUCCCAGCCCUUGAUAAUUGUUUUCACCUAUCCUGUGUUAUUCUUGUUACCCCUCUGUAUUUAAGUUCCUGCCUUAGUUCAGUUCCCCAGUGGGUCAUUGUUGGAUGUCACCUCGUUUCCCCGCCUGUACGAUGCCCCGCCCCCGUGCCAGAACCUCCCGAGUCUGUGGCACUGUCUGUAAUUGUAAAUAGCCUUUGUUGUAUUGUUAUUGUUAAUGGUUGCAUUUCCCUAUUGUCGCACAUGCGUUUGCCCGUGUAUUGUGUGUAUCCUGUACGAUCCUCGUGUGUUCUUACCCUGUAUAUCUCUCCCACCGUGUGUGCACCUUACAGCUCAGCGUCUGACACCCUUGUGUUCCGGCUGUGUGUUUUUGGUUCGAUGCUUGUUGGGUGCCUGUUAUGGACCGCUAUUAAAGACUGUGUUUUCCC